rnacentral:rRNA from 1 species
GAGAUUUUAACACGAAGUGAGUGGCGGACGGGUGAGUAACACGUGGGUAACCUGCCCAGAAGCAGGGGAUAACACCUGGAAACAGAUGCUAAUACCGUAUAACAGAGAAAACCGCCUGGUUUUCUUUUAAAAGAUGGCUCUGCUAUCACUUCUGGAUGGACCCGCGGCGCAUUAGCUAGUUGGUGAGGUAACGGCUCACCAAGGCGAUGAUGCGUAGCCGACCUGAGAGGGUAAUCGGCCACAUUGGGACUGAGACACGGCCCAGACUCCUACGGGAGGCAGCAGUAGGGAAUCUUCCACAAUGGACGCAAGUCUGAUGGAGCAACGCCGCGUGAGUGAAGAAGGGUUUCGGCUCGUAAAGCUCUGUUGUUAAAGAAGAACGUGGGUGAGAGUAACUGUUCACCCAGGGACGGUAUUUAACCAGAAAGCCACGGCUAACUACGUGCCAGCAGCCCGCGGAAAUACGUAGGUGGCCAAGCGUUAUCCGGAUUUAUUGGGCGUAAAGCGAGCGCAGGCGGUCUUUUAAGUCUAAUGUGAAAGCCUUCGGCUCAACCGAAGAAGGGGCAUUGGAAACUGGGAGACUUGAGUGCAGAAGAGGACAGUGGAACUCCAUGUGUAGCGGUGAAAUGCGUAGAUAUAUGGAAGAACACCAGGGGCGAAGGCGNGCUGUCUGGUCUGUAACUGACGCUGAGGCUCGAAAGCAUGGGUAGCGAACAGGAUUAGAUACCCUGGUAGUCCAUGCCGUAAACGAUGAUUACUAAGUGUUGGAGGGUUUCCGCCCUUCAGUGCUGCAGCUAACGCAUUAAGUAAUCCGCCUGGGGAGUACGACCGCAAGGUUGAAACUCAAAAGAAUUGACGGGGGCCCGCACAAGCGGUGGAGCAUGUGGUUUAAUUCGAAGCUACGCGAAGAACCUUACCAGGUCUUGACAUCUUCUGCCAACCUAAGAGAUUAGGCGUUCCCUUCGGGGACAGAAUGACAGGUGGUGCAUGGUUGUCGUCAGCUCGUGUCGUGAGAUGUUGGGUUAAGUCCCGCAACGAGCGCAACCCUUAUUACUAGUUGCCAGCAUUCAGUUGGGCACUCUAGUGAGACUGCCGGUGACAAACCGGAGGAAGGUGGGGACGACGUCAAAUCAUCAUGCCCCUUAUGACCUGGGCUACACACGUGCUACAAUGGAUGGUACAACGAGUCGCGAAACCGCGAGGUUUAGCUAAUCUCUUAAAACCAUUCUCAGUUCGGACUGUAGGCUGCAACUCGCCUACACGAAGUCGGAAUCGCUAGUAAU